GGGUGGUAAAUUCCAUCUAAAGCUAAAUAUUGGCGAGAGACCGAUAGCGAACAAGUACAGUGAUGGAAAGAUGAAAAGAACUUUGAAAAGAGAGUGAAAAAGUACGUGAAAUUGUUGAAAGGGAAGGGCUUGAGAUCAGACUUGGUAUUUUGUAUGUUACUCUCUCGGGGGUGGCCUCUACAGUUUACCGGGCCAGCAUCAGUUUGAGCGGUAGGAUAAGUGCAAAGAAAUGUGGCACUGCUUCGGUAGUGUGUUAUAGUCUUUGUCGAUACUGCCAGCUUAGACUGAGGACUGCGGCUUCGGCCUAGGAUGUUGGCAUAAUGAUCUUAAGUCGCCCGUCUUGAAACACGGAC
rnacentral:rRNA from 1 species